rnacentral:tRNA from 1 species
GUGGCUUAGUAGGUAAAGUGCAGAACUGGCAUGCCUGAGGCCCCAGGUUCAAUCCCUGGC